rnacentral:rRNA from 1 species
AUUGAACGCUGGCGGCAUGCCUUACACAUGCAAGUCGAACGGUAACAGGCCGCAAGGUGCUGACGAGUGGCGAACGGGUGAGUAAUGCAUCGGAACGUGCCCAGUCGUGGGGGAUAACUGCUCGAAAGAGCAGCUAAUACCGCAUACGACCUGAGGGUGAAAGCGGGGGACCGGAAGGCCUCGCGCGAUUGGAGCGGCCGAUGUCAGAUUAGCUAGUGGGUGGGGUAAAGGCCUACCAAGGCAACGAUCUGUAGUUGGUCUGCGAGGACGACCAGCCACACUGGGACUGAGACACGGCCCAGACUCCUACGGGAGGCAGCAGUGGGGAAUUUUGGACAAUGGGCGCAAGCCUGAGCCAGCAAUGCCGCGUGCAGGAAGAAGGCCUUCGGGUUGUAAACUGCUUUUGUCAGGGAAGAAAUCUUCUGGGCUAAUACCCCGGGAGGAUGACGGUACCUGAAGAAUAAGCACCGGCUAACUACGUGCCAGCCGCCGCCGUAAGAC